GUCCAGCUGACCAGUCCCAAAUGGGACGAAAUGCGCGUCCUAGAU
rnacentral:hammerhead_ribozyme from 1 species